AGAGCGAACGCUGGCGGCAGGCUUAACACAUGCAAGUCGAGCGGGCGUAGCAAGUACGUCAGCGGCAGACGGGUGAGUAACGCGUGGGAACAUACCUUUUGGUUCGGAACAACACAGGGAAACUUGUGCUAAUACCGGAUAAGCCCUUACGGGGAAAGACUUAUCGCCGAAAGAUUGGCCCGCGUCUGAUUAGCUAGUUGGUGAGGUAACGGCUCACCAAGGCGACGAUCAGUAGCUGGUCUGAGAGGAUGAUCAGCCACAUUGGGACUGAGACACGGCCCAAACUCCUACGGGAGGCAGCAGUGGGGAAUAUUGGACAAUGGGCGCAAGCCUGAUCCAGCCAUGCCGCGUGAGUGAUGAAGGCCCUAGGGUUGUAAAGCUCUUUUGUGCGGGAAGAUAAUGACGGUACCGCAAGAAUAAGCCCCGGCUAACUUCGUGCCAGCAGCCGC
rnacentral:rRNA from 1 species